rnacentral:rRNA from 1 species
UUGGAAAGUUACACACUUCGUAACAAGGUCUCCGUUGGUGAACCAGCGGAGGGAUCAUU